AUGAGAGUUCUAGAAUGUGUGUUCCUCUUGACUCUCAUCUCAGCUAUUCAGGGGCAGUCACUCACCUCCUCUGAGCCAGUGAUGAAGAGACCUGGAGAGCCAGUAACACUGUCCUGUGCUGUGUCUGGAUUACAUGCACUGGAUCUCUACUACAUGCACUGGAUCCGUCAGAAACCAGGGAAAGGACUAGAGUGGAUUGGGCGUAUUGACACUGGCACUGGCACUAUAUUUGCCCAGUCCCUCCAGGGCCAGUUCACCAUCACCAAAGACAGCUCCAAAAAAGGUGAAAACACACAGUUCUUAGAGGCCAAGAGUCUGAGAUCAGAGGACUCUACUGUUUAUUAUUGUGCCUGA